UACGUAGGGGGCAAGCGUUGUCCGGAUUUAUUGGGCGUAAAGAGCGUGUAGGCGGCCAGGUAGGUCCGUUGUGAAAACUGGAGGCUUAACCUCCAGCUGUCGAUGGAAACCAUCUGGCUAGAGUCCGGAAGAGGAGAGUGGAAUUCCUGGUGUAGCGGUGAAAUGCGCAGAUAUCAGGAGGAACACCUAUUGCGAAGGCAGCUCGCUGGGACGUAACUGACGCUGAGACGCGAAAGCGUGGGGAGCAAACAGG
rnacentral:rRNA from 1 species